UACGUAGGGGGCAAGCGUUGUCCGGAAUCACUGGGCGUAAAGCGCGCGCAGGCGGUCUUUCACGUCCGGGGUGAAAGCCCAGAGCUCAACUCUGGGAUUGCCUUGGAUACGGGGAGGCUUGAGGAUCGGAGAGGCAAGGGGAAUUCCACGUGUAGCGGUGAAAUGCGUAGAGAUGUGGAGGAACACCUGUGGCGAAGGCGCCUUGCUGGCCGAUUUCUGACGCUGAGGCGCGAAAGCUAGGGGAGCAAACGGG
rnacentral:rRNA from 1 species